ACCCACUUAUCUAAAACAAACUGUAUUAGAUGUGAAAUCCACACUUUAAAACAAAGCUCACCAAGUUGCGCCGAUUUUCUUUAAACUGUGGAACAGGUAGGAAUCAAGUGGGUUUCCCAUAGAGUUCAGAAGGAGCUUUCCACGCACCAGCUAAUCAAAAAAUAGCAUCACUGUAUCCGGGUAAGACAACGCAACGUUACAUUCCAAAGAAAAGGAUGCACAUGCGCAGUUGCAGACUGAUCGACGCAGAUUGGAAGACGCAGGAGCCCCGUAUCAAAACUGUGCACUCCUGCCACAACACCCUGAAUCUUAUCUGCAAGCCUGUACGCCUGAGUGUGAGAAAUGGGAUCCGUCAGCUCGCUGCUCUGGGUGAUCCACAUUUUCCCUAAUCUGGACCGUCCCGUCUUCCCUUAAAAUGGAUUAAAGCUCACUUUUACUGAAAGCAGGUCACAAGGAGCCUUCUCCAUAUUGGACGCGCCUGUUAAAUGAAACUGAGGCUCACGCUGCAGAACUCCAAGUGCCAAUUCACAUUCAACUGAACUCUUCUGUUUAAUGCUUUGAGUGCUUUAAUAUAUCUGAGAAUAACUGUGAUAAUAACACAAUAUACAUGAUCACAGCAGUUUAAUUUCAAGCAAGGUAAUACACCAAGGAAUAGGACACUGAAGAAAGAAAUACAAGGGGCUCAGGAGCAGGAAGUAGCAAUCAUUUUGUUGUAAAAAUUACAAGAUGGCUCUCACUUUCUAAAGGACAAGUUAUAGAUUACUAUUGGAAGCAGAAGCACACAAUGAGAUGUAGUGCAAUCACAAUGUUUUUUCAUCCGUUGAGACCAGGAAGAGCUCUUCAUAUAGAAAGCCACACACUGGAAAUGAGACUGAAUUAAAGAAUGCCCAAACUAUCAGCCAGCUUCAUUUGCAGAGAGCAGAAUGGUCCUUUUCACUGGCCCAAUCCCAAUUUCACCACUGAAGCGCUGAAGCCUCACAGACUUAAGUGAUGUCUGGUGUGCAGUGCAUGAGUCUGUAAGUCCUAUAAAAGGGCUAGAGAAACACCCCUGAAUGGGGCACACUAUCAUGACAUCACUUGCUGUCUGGGAAUAAAAUGGACAAUAAGAGAAAAGAA